UGUUUGAGCAGGUGAGAUGUCUGAUGGAUCAUGGGGAGUUUGAAACACAAGAUGGGACAGUGAUUCUGUUGAAGAAAAACAGCCAGCAUUACCUGAUGAGGUCAGAAUGUGAACAUUUGAUUCGUCAGGGAGUUCUGGAACAUAUAGUACAGUGAGCUAGCUUGUGGUCUGUUACAUUGUGGGUGCUACUGACAUUGUGUUCUAACUUACCAGAAUAUAUCACAAACGUUUGGAGUUUCUUUAAAGAAAAGAUUCAGUUCAUCAAUCUUCAAGUCAUAGGAAUAUCUGGUUCUGGCUUGUUUGUGAUGUGUUCUAUAUGAUAUAAGCUGAACUUGAAGUCUACUUUGACCUUCUUUACAUUACAGAUACCGGUAAUUAGAGGAGCUGUGAGGAAAUGUUUAAAAACUGUUUAUAGUACCAAGCACUUCUACUAAACACAAGUUUUUUGCUGCAUGUUUCAAAGCAUGCUAUAUUUUUUAAUAAUGUAUUUCAAUAUUUUGUUUCAUUUACAUUUCCAGUAGGUAUUGCUAAUCAAAUAUCAAUUUUUACUUCUGCUGAACUAAAUUAGCCCUUUUUUUAAAAUGUCAUUCAAGACAAUAUACCAAGUCAUAAAUAAAGGGAAAUAGUCAGCCUGUAUGGUCAUUUGUUUUUCAAAAUCCUUCUUUGGUGUAGUGCAAGUGGGCUUAGCUCAG
rnacentral:sRNA from 1 species